UACGAAGGGGGCGAGCGUUGUUCGGAAUUACUGGGCGUAAAGGGCGCGCAGGCGGCUUGGCAAGUCGAGUGUGAAAUCCCUUGGCUUAGCUGAGGAAUGGCGCUCGAAACUACCUCGCUGGAGGGCGGGAGAGGGAAGUGGAACUCUCGGUGUAGGGGUGAAAUCUGUAGAUAUCGAGAGGAACACCGGUGGCGAAGGCGGCUUCCUGGCCCGUACCUGACGCUGAGGCGCGAAAGCGUGGGGAGCAAACAGG
rnacentral:rRNA from 1 species